ACUCUUCUUGCUGUCUCAAUACAUAAGCUACUACUCCAGCACUGUGCCUGACAACCUGCUGCUGCCAUGCUCCCCAUAAUGAUGGCCAUGGACUCUAUUAGCCUUGGGAAUGGUAGUCAGCCACACUCCAGAGAGGUGAUCCGAAUGAAACCUUACUGCCUAGGGUAGGCCUUCCUGAGGACAAUGAAUGAACACAUCUUCCAUUUUGCCCAACCCAAAGACCACCAAGACCAGCUCAGCGCACAAGCAUCUAUUCCUGAUUCUAAUCCUCAUACUCGGCCAAGCAGCAAAAUGUCUCACACAGAGAAAGCAAAUAUAUGAAAAUGCCUAACUGGCAAGCUAUCAAGUUAUUGUCAAUGUAUUACAGUGCAGUAAAACGAAACGAUCCUUUCUGCCUGGCCAAGACUGAUGACUGAUGAAGUACAAACUCCCCAAGACUGUGACGUCCCUGACACCCCUAAAAUAAGAGAUCGGAUAUGUGUGAGGCUAGUCUUCUCUCACAAGGCCUUGAAAAAUACAAGCUAACUUUCUAAGC